GAAGAGUUUUUUAGGAUGUUGGUCUGUCGUCUUCUCCGUCAGCUGGCUUUCUGAAUCAGGCCACUCUUCUUGCCCCAACAUCUCAUCUCCUGAUUUACUGGCCUGUCCCUACAGUGAACAUGAGGAGUUGGGACUCAGUAUAUCAGCUGGAGGGAGGCCAGAGGAUCCUGUUUGUAAAAACCGUAUUCGAAGCUGUAUUCCACAACCAAAGAUUUUCUCAGAGGUGGGCUGUGAGGAACAGUCUCGAGACGAAAGAAAUGUGUGAACAGACAGCAAAAUGGGGAACUGCAGUGACUCAUUGGGGCCCGAGCCAGCUCUUCCUUCCUCUUCUCAGAGCUCUGUUUCUGAAGUUUGAUGGCAUCUAAAGAAAUCUGUUGCCAUGCAGUAGUGAGACUCUCCAUGGCAACUUGAAGUCGGGGCCCCUCAGGACUCUGGGGGGGCCACGGUGAGCCCUUCUUCGAACUGCAUCCACCCUCCCUGGGAUGAGCUGCCUCAUGAGGAUCUCUGUCACCAGCGCUUGGGGAGCACCUCCAAAGAGACCCCCUUCUCUGCCCAUGUGCCCCCAUCCAAGACAGCUCCCGUGCCCUUCUGUCUUUGUCUUAAACCCAACCCAGCCAUCCUCAGAAGCUUCCUCCGAGCUGCCCCUUAUGUUGCCUUUCUCAAUCGUUUUGACAAGAAACACCAGCAGGAACAGUCAAGACUUGGAAGAAAUCUGAUUGGGUCAGAAAGAAGGGGGACCUUGGAUAAUGACAGUAAUUGUCACAACUUCCAAUCUUCCUCAAGCUUUAGAGUUCAGGACUCUGGAUCCCCUCACCAAGGCCACGGCACCAGAGAGGAUGAGAAGGGCUGAUGUUGCAUCUCAGCUGCCCUCUUAGCUGACUAGCCGCACGGAAAAAAACAGGGAGCAGAUGAGAAACCCAAUUUCCGCCACUUUGCAAACACUGGAAGUGAAACUAUGCAGUUUUCUUCUGAAGCAAAUUGCUUUAAGUAGAAAAGCUGCUUCCAGCAAAAUGACGAAGCAUUCCAAGUAUCACCGGUGUGCAUGGUGUGGUCCAAAGGGGGCCCUGAAGCUUGCCGAGCACUAACAAGCCAUCUCUGGUUAGCGAGCCGACAGGUGCCUGCAAGUCCAAGCAGCAGAUGACAUCAGGCCGAGGCUGGGGUCCCACAGGCAAACUCACCCCAGCGGACCUCGUGAUACUUUGGGAGGCCAGGCUCACUGUCUCCCAUUCCUAGUCACCUUGUUACCAACUCCUGUGGAAAAUUUAAUGUGGCCAGAAGGAAUUCUGACCUCUUUUAGACAAAAACAUGCUCAUGUUUUUAUGAUGAACUAUUGCAUAUUUUUAUUGAAAACAUUUAAUACUGCUCUAAAAGGGUGACUAUUUUUUAGGUAUUGCCCCACUGCUGAUUUCUGAUUGAAUGCUGCCAAGAACAAGAAAGGAGG
rnacentral:lncRNA from 1 species